rnacentral:rRNA from 1 species
UACGUAGGGGGCAAGCGUUGUCCGGAAUCAUUGGGCGUAAAGAGCGUGUAGGCGGCCCGAUAAGUCCGCUGUGAAAGUCCAGGGCUCAACCCUGGAAUGCCGGUGGAUACUGUCGGGCUCGAAUCCGGAAGAGGUGAGUGGAAUUCCUGGUGUAGCGGUGAAAUGCGCAGAUAUCAGGAAGAACACCCGUGGCGAAGGCGGCUCUCUGGGACGGUACUGACGCUGAGACG